GACGUAGGUGGCGAACGUUAUCCGGAAUUAUUGGGCGUAAAGGAUGCGUAGGUGGUGUAGUAAGUUAUCGGUGGUAAAUCGAGGCUCAACCUCGUGGAAGUCGGUAAUACUGCUAUGCUAGAGGAUAGGAGAGGUUAACUGAACUCCCUGUGGAGCGGUGAAAUGCGUAGAUAUAGGGAAGAACACCAAUCAGGCGAAGGCAGUUAACUAUUCUAUUCCUGACAUUGAGGCAUGAAAGCGUGGGGAGCAAAACGG
rnacentral:rRNA from 1 species